GGCGGCCUUCUGGACAGUACUGACGCUGAGAUGCGAAAGCGUGGGGAGCAAACAGGAUUAGAUACCUGGUAGUCCACGCUGUAAACGAUGUCGAUUUGGAGUUUGUUGCCUAGAGUGAUGGGCUCCGAAGCUAACGCGAUAAAUCGACCGCCUGGGGAGUACGGCCGCAAGGUUAAAACUCAAAUGAAUUGACGGGGGCCCGCACAAGCGGUGGAGCAUGUGGUUUAAUUCGAUGCAACGCGAAGAACCUUACCUGGUCUUGACAUCCAUAGAAUUCUGCAGAGAUGUGGGAGUGCCUUCGGGAACUAUGAGACAGGUGCUGCAUGGCUGUCGUCAGCUCGUGUUGUGAAAUGUUGGGUUAAGUCCCGCAACGAGCGCAACCCUUAUUCUUUGUUGCCAGCGAUUUGGUCGGGAACUCAAAGGAGACUGCCGUUGAUAAAGCGGAGGAAGGUGGGGACGACGUCAAGUCAUCAUGGCCCUUACGACCAGGGCUACACACGUGCUACAAUGGCGUAUACAAAGGGAGGCGAAGGUGCGAGCUGGAGCGGAUCUCAUAAAGUACGUCUAAGUUCGGAUUGGAGUCUGCAACUCGACUCCACGAAGUCGGAAUCGCUAGUAAUCGUAGAUCAGAAUGCUACGGUGAAUACGUUCCCGGGCCUUGUACACACCGCCCGUCACACCAUGGGAGUGGGUUGCACCAGAAGUAGAUAGCUUAACCGCGAGGGGGGCGUUUACCACGGUGUGAUUCAUGACUGGGGUGAAGUCGUAACAAGGUAACCA
rnacentral:rRNA from 1 species